rnacentral:lncRNA from 1 species
CAAUUCAUCUCAAUAUAAUUUAUCAGUGUCUAUUUAGUUGGGAGUAGGAUUUAUCACCAAGCAAAGCAAACCUAAGAAUGAGGACACAUACUUAUAGUAGAGGGUAGGAUAAGUUCACAUACUUACAGUAGAGGGUGUGACCCUUAGAAGCAAUCUUUGUAUUCCAAAACUAUGUAGACAUUAAAACCUAUCAGAUGAGGAUUGAUGAGGUGGCUUAACCUAUCAUAUUAG